GACGAACGCUGGCGGCGUGCUUAACACAUGCAAGUCGAACGGAAAGGCCCUGCUUUUGUGGGGUGCUCGAGUGGCGAACGGGUGAGUAACACGUGAGUAACCUGCCCUUGACUUUGGGAUAACUUCAGGAAACUGGGGCUAAUACCGGAUAGGAGCUCCUGCUGCAUGGUGGGGGUUGGAAAGUUUCGGCGGUUGGGGAUGGACUCGCGGCUUAUCAGCUUGUUGGUGGGGUAGUGGCUUACCAAGGCUUUGACGGGUAGCCGGCCUGAGAGGGUGACCGGCCACAUUGGGACUGAGACACGGCCCAGACUCCUACGGGAGGCAGCAGUGGGGAAUAUUGCACAAUGGGCGGAAGCCUGAUGCAGCAACGCCGCGUGCGGGAUGACGGCCUUCGGGUUGUAAACCGCUUUCGCCUGUGACGAAGCGUGAGUGACGGUAAUGGGUAAAGAAGCACCGGCUAACUACGUGCCAGCAGCCGCGGUGAUACGUAGGGUGCGAGCGUUGUCCGGAUUUAUUGGGCGUAAAGGGCUCGUAGGUGGUUGAUCGCGUCGGAAGUGUAAUCUUGGGGCUUAACCCUGAGCGUGCUUUCGAUACGGGUUGACUUGAGGAAGGUAGGGGAGAAUGGAAUUCCUGGUGGAGCGGUGGAAUGCGCAGAUAUCAGGAGGAACACCAGUGGCGAAGGCGGUUCUCUGGGCCUUUCCUGACGCUGAGGAGCGAAAGCGUGGGGAGCGAACAGGCUUAGAUACCCUGGUAGUCCACGCUGUAAACGGUGGGUACUAGGUGUGGGGUCCAUUCCACGGGUUCCGUGCCGUAGCUAACGCUUUAAGUACCCCGCCUGGGGAGUACGGCCGCAAGGCUAAAACUCAAAGGAAUUGACGGGGCCCCGCACAAGCGGCGGAGCAUGCGGAUUAAUUCGAUGCAACGCGUAGAACCUUACCUGGGUUUGACAUGGAUCGGGAGUGCUCAGAGAUGGGUGUGCCUCUUUUGGGGUCGGUUCACAGGUGGUGCAUGGCUGUCGUCAGCUCGUGUCGUGAGAUGUUGGGUUAAGUCCCGCAACGAGCGCAACCCUUGUUCACUGUUGCCAGCACGUUAUGGUGGGGACUCAGUGGAGACCGCCGGGGUCAACUCGGAGGAAGGUGGGGAUGACGUCAAGUCAUCAUGCCCCUUAUGUCCAGGGCUUCACGCAUGCUACAAUGGCUGGUACAGAGAGUGGCGAGCCUGUGAGGGUGAGCGAAUCUCGGAAAGCCGGUCUCAGUUCGGAUUGGGGUCUGCAACUCGACCUCAUGAAGUCGGAGUCGCUAGUAAUCGCAGAUCAGCAACGCUGCGGUGAAUACAGUUCCCGGG
rnacentral:rRNA from 1 species